rnacentral:rRNA from 1 species
CCUACGGGCGGCAGCAGUGAGGAAUAUUGGUCAAUGGGCGCGAGCCUGAACCAGCCAAGUAGCGUGAAGGAUGACGGCUCUACGGGUUGUAAACUUCUUUUAUAAAGGAGUAAAGUGAGGUACGCGUGCCUUUUUGUAUGUACUUUAUGACUAAGGAUCGGCUAACUCCGUGCCAGCAGCCGCGGUAAUACGGAGGAUCCAAGCGUUAUCCGGAUUUAUUGGGUUUAAAGGGAGCGUAGAUGGGUGGUUAAGUUAGAUGUGAAAGUUUGCGGCUCAACCGUAAAAUUGCAUUUGAUACUGGUAGUCUUGAGUACAGUUGAGGUAGGCGGAAUUCAUGGUGUAGCGGUGAAAUGCUUAGAUAUCAUGAAGAACACCGAUUGCGAAGGCAGCUUACUAAGCUGCCACUGACAUUGAGGCUCGAAAGUGUGGGGAGCAAACAGGAUUAGAUACCCGAGUAGUC